AUUGAACGCUGGCGGCAUGCCCUACACAUGCAAGUCGAACGGUAACGGGCCUUCGGGUGCCGACGAGUGGCGAACGGGUGAGUAAUACAUCGGAACGUGCCCGAUCGUGGGGGAUAACGAGGCGAAAGCUUUGCUAAUACCGCAUACGAUCUACGGAUGAAAGCAGGGGACCACAAGGCCUUGCGCGGACGGAGCGGCCGAUGGCAGAUUAGGUAGUUGGUGGGAUAAAAGCUUACCAAGCCGACGAUCUGUAGCUGGUCUGAGAGGAUGAUCAGCCACACUGGGACUGAGACACGGCCCAGACUCCUACGGGAGGCAGCAGUGGGGAAUUUUGGACAAUGGGCGCAAGCCUGAUCCAGCCAUGCCGCGUGCAGGAUGAAGGCCUUCGGGUUGUAAACUGCUUUUGUACGGAACGAAAAGCCUUCUUUUAAUACAGGAGGGUCAUGACGGUACCGUAAGAAUAAGCACCGGCUAACUACGUG
rnacentral:rRNA from 1 species